UCGAGCGGACAGAUGGGAGCUUGCUCCCUGAUGUUAGCGGCGGACGGGUGAGUAACACGUGGGUAACCUGCCUGUAAGACUGGGAUAACUCCGGGAAACCGGGGCUAAUACCGGAUGGUUGUUUGAACCGCAUGGUUCAAACAUAAAAGGUGGCUUCGGCUACCACUUACAGAUGGACCCGCGGCGCAUUAGCUAGUUGGUGAGGUAACGGCUCACCAAGGCAACGAUGCGUAGCCGACCUGAGAGGGUGAUCGGCCACACUGGGACUGAGACACGGCCCAGACUCCUACGGGAGGCAGCAGUAGGGAAUCUUCCGCAAUGGACGAAAGUCUGACGGAGCAACGCCGCGUGAGUGAUGAAGGUUUUCGGAUCGUAAAGCUCUGUUGUUAGGGAAGAACAAGUACCGUUCGAAUAGGGCGGUACCUUGACGGUACCUAACCAGAAAGCCACGGCUAACUACGUGCCAGCAGCCGCGGUAAUACGUAGGUGGCAAGCGUUGUCCGGAAUUAUUGGGCGUAAAGGGCUCGCAGGCGGUUUCUUAAGUCUGAUGUGAAAGCCCCCGGCUCAACCGGGGAGGGUCAUUGGAAACUGGGGAACUUGAGUGCAGAAGAGGAGAGUGGAAUUCCACGUGUAGCGGUGAAAUGCGUAGAGAUGUGGAGGAACACCAGUGGCGAAGGCGACUCUCUGGUCUGUAACUGACGCUGAGGAGCGAAAGCGUGGGGGAGCGAACAGGAUUAGAUACCCUGGUAGUCCACGCCGUAAACGAUGAGUGCUAAGUGUUAGGGGGUUUCCGCCCCUUAGUGCUGCAGCUAACGCAUUAAGCACUCCGCCUGGGGAGUACGGUCGCAAGACUGAAACUCAAGGAAUUGACGGGGGCCCGCACAAGCGGUGGAGCAUGUGG
rnacentral:rRNA from 1 species